rnacentral:rRNA from 1 species
GUCCACGCCGUAAACGAUGUCUACUAGCCGUUGGGUUCCUUGAGGACUUAGUGGCGCAGCUAACGCAAUAAGUAGACCGCCUGGGGAGUACGGUCGCAAGAUUAAAACUCAAAUGAAUUGACGGGGGCCCGCACAAGCGGUGGAGCAUGUGGUUUAAUUCGACGCAACGCGAAGAACCUUACCAGGUCUUGACAUCCAGAGAACUUUCCAGAGAUGGAUUGGUGCCUUCGGGAACUCUGAGACAGGUGCUGCAUGGCU